rnacentral:rRNA from 1 species
AACGUAGGAGACAAACGUUAUCCGGAGUUACUGGGCGUAAAGGGCGUGUAGGUGGUUUCGUAAGUCUGGCGUGAAAUAUCUCGGCUUAACCGAGGCAGGUCGUCGGAUACUGCGGGACUAGAGGACGGUAGAGGCGUGUGGAAUUCCGGGUGUAGUGGUGAAAUGCGUAGAGAUCCGGAGGAACACCAGUGGCGAAGGCGACACGCUGGGCCAUACCUGACACUGAUGCGCGACAGCAUGGGGAGCAAACAGG